rnacentral:rRNA from 1 species
UAGGGAAUCUUCCACAAUGGGCGCAAGCCUGAUGGAGCAACACCGCGUGAGUGAAGAAGGGUUUCGGCUCGUAAAGCUCUGUUGUUAAAGAAGAACACGUAUGAGAGUAACUGUUCAUACGUUGACGGUAUUUAACCAGAAAGUCCCGGCUAACUACGUGCCAG